rnacentral:rRNA from 1 species
GACAGAGGAUGCAAGCGUUAUCCGGAAUGAUUGGGCGUAAAGCGUGCGCAGGCGGUUUUGUAAGUCUGACGUGAAAUCCCCGGGCUUAACCUGGGAAUUGCGUUGGAGACUGCAAGGCUAGAAUCUGGCAGAGGGAGGUAGAAUUCCACGUGUAGCGGUGAAAUGCGUAGAUAUGUGGAGGAAUACCGAUGGCGAAGGCAGCCUCCUGGGCCAACACUGACGCUCAUGCACGAAAGCGUGGGGAGCAAACAGG